UGGCUCAGUUGGUAGAGCAUGGUGUUUGCAAUGCCAGGGUUGUGGGUUCGAUUCCUAC
rnacentral:tRNA from 1 species